AACGAACGCUGGCGGCGUGCUUAACACAUGCAAGUCGAACGGGUUCAUAAUGAGUAGCAAUACUUGAUAUGAAUUAGUGGCGGACGGGUGAGUAACACGUAGGUAACCUACCCUUGAGCGGGGGACAACCCAGGGAAACUUGGGCUAAUACCCCAUAAGACCACGGGGUGUGAAUCUUGUGGUAAAAGUAGCGAUACGCUCAUGGACGGGCCUGCGGCCUAUCAGGUAGUUGGUGAGGUAACGGCCCACCAAGCCAAAGACGGGUAGCCGGGCUGAGAGGUUGAACGGCCACACUGGAACUGAGACACGGUCCAGACUCCUACGGGAGGCAGCAGUGGGGAAUAUUGCACAAUGGGGGAAACCCUGAUGCAGCGACGCCGCGUGGAGGAUGAAGGUCUUCGGGUUGUAAACUCCUUUUAUUGGGAAAGAUGAUGACGGUACCCAAUGAAUAAGCCACGGCUAACUCUGUGCCAGCAGCCGCGGUAAGACAGAGGUGGCGAGCGUUGUUCGGAAUUACUGGGCUUAAAGGGCGAGUAGGCGGUGGGACAAGUCUGAUGUGGAAUCUUAGGGCUUAACCCUAAAACUGCAUUAGAAACUGUUUUACUUGAGUCAGUGA
rnacentral:rRNA from 1 species